rnacentral:rRNA from 1 species
AUUGAACGCUGGCGGCAGGCUUAACACAUGCAAGUCGAGCGGGGUGAUGGUGCUUGCACUAUCACUUAGCGGCGGACGGGUGAGUAAUGCUUAGGAAUCUGCCUAUUAGUGGGGGACAACAUCUCGAAAGGGAUGCUAAUACCGCAUACGUCCUACGGGAGAAAGCAGGGGAUCACUUGUGACCUUGCGCUAAUAGAUGAGCCUAAGUCGGAUUAGCUAGUUGGUGGGGUAAAGGCCUACCAAGGCGACGAUCUGCAGCGGGUCUGAGAGGAUGAACCGCCACACUGGGACGGAGACACGGGCCAGACUCCUACGGGAGGCAGCAGUGGGGGAUAUUGGACAAUGGGGGGAACCCUGAUCCAGCCAUGCCGCGUGUGUGAAGAAGGCCUUAUGGUUGUAAAGCACUUUAAGCGAGGAGGAGGCUCUUUUGGUUAAUACCCAAGAUGAGUGGACGUUACUCGCAGAAUAAGCACCGGCUAACUCUGUGCCAGCCGCCGCCGUAA